rnacentral:rRNA from 1 species
GACGAACGCUGGCGGCGUGCCUAACACAUGCAAGUCGAACGGAAAGGCCCUGCUUGCAGUUUACUCGAGUGGCGAACGGGUUUGUAACACGUGGGGUAUCUGGUCUGUACCUUGGGAUAAGCCGGGGAAACUGGGUCUAAUACCGUAGCUAACCUUGCAUGUUGUGGGGUGUGUGGAGAGAUUUGUCGGUGUGGGAUGAUCGCGCGGCCUAUCAGCUUGUUGGUGGGGUAAUGGCCUACCAAGGCGUUGACGGGUAGCCGGCCUGAGAGGGUGGACGGCCACAUUGGGACUGAGAUACGGGCCAGACUCCUACGGGAGGCAGCAGUGAGGAAUAUUGCACAAUGGGCGGAAGCCUUAUGCAGCGACGCCGCGUGGGAGAUGACGGCCUUCGGGUUGUAAACCUCUUUCGACAGGGACGAAGCUUCGGUGACGGUACCUUUAUAAGAAGCACCGGCUAACUACGUG